rnacentral:rRNA from 1 species
GCGGACGGGUGAGUAAUACCUGGGAAUCUGCCUGAUAGUGGGGGAUAACGUUCGGAAACGGACGCUAAUACCGCAUACGUCCUACGGGAGAAAGCAGGGGAUCUUCGGACCUUGCGCUAUCAGAUGAGCCCAGGUCGGAUUAGCUUGUUGGUGAGGUAACGGCUCACCAAGGCGACGAUCCGUAACUGGUCUGAGAGGAUGAUCAGUCACACUGGAACUGAGACACGGUCCAGACUCCUACGGGAGGCAGCAGUGGGGAAUAUUGGACAAUGGGCGAAAGCCUGAUCCAGCCAUGCCGCGUGUGUGAAGAAGGUCUUCGGAUUGUAAAGCACUUUAAGUUGGGAGGAAGGGUUGUAGUUUAAUACGCUGCAAUCUUGACGUUACCGACAGAAUAAGCACCGGCUAACUCUGUGCCAGCAGCCGCGGUAAUACAGAGGGUGCAAGCGUUAAUCGGAAUUACUGGGCGUAAAGCGCGCGUAGGUGGCUAAGUAAGAUGGGUGUGAAAUCCCCGGGCUCAACCUGGGAACUGCAUCCAUAACUGCUUAGCUAGAGUACGGUAGAGGGUAGUGGAAUUUCCUGUGUAGCGGUGAAAUGCGUAG